AUUGAACGCUGGCGGCAGGCCUAACACAUGCAAGUCGAGCGGAUGAAGGGAGCUUGCUCCUGGAUUCAGCGGCGGACGGGUGAGUAAUGCCUAGGAAUCUGCCUGGUAGUGGGGGAUAACGUCCGGAAACGGGCGCUAAUACCGCAUACGUCCUGAGGGAGAAAGUGGGGGAUCUUCGGACCUCACGCUAUCAGAUGAGCCUAGGUCGGAUUAGCUAGUUGGUGGGGUAAAGGCCUACCAAGGCGACGAUCCGUAACUGGUCUGAGAGGAUGAUCAGUCACACUGGAACUGAGACACGGUCCAGACUCCUACGGGAGGCAGCAGUGGGGAAUAUUGGACAAUGGGCGGAAGCCUGAUCCAGCCAUGCCGAGUGUGUGAAGAAGGUCUUCGGAUUGUAAAGCACUUUAAGUUGGGAGGAAGGGCAGUAAGUUAAUACCUUGCUGUUUUGACGUUACCAACAGAAUAAGCACCGGCUAACUUCGUG
rnacentral:rRNA from 1 species